UUUGACCUCAAAUCAGGUAGGACUACCCGCUGAACUUAAGCAUAUCAAUAAGCGGAGGAAAAGAAACUAACAAGGAUUCCCCUAGUAACUGCGAGUGAAGAGGGAAAAGCUCAAAUUUGAAAUCUGGCAGUCUACGGCUGUCCGAGUUGUAAUCUAGAGAAGUGUUUUCCGCGCUGGACCGUGUAUAAGUCCUUUGGAACAAGGCGUCAUAGAGGGUGAGAAUCCCGUCUACGACACGGACUCCCAGUGCUCUGUGAUACACUCUCAACGAGUCGAGUUGUUUGGGAAUGCAGCUCAAAAUGGGUGGUAAAUUCCAUCUAAAGCUAAAUACAGGCGAAAGACCGAUAGCGAACAAGUACCGUGAGGGAAAGAUGAAAAGCACUUUGGAAAGAGAGUUAAACAGUACGUGAAAUUGUUGAAAGGGAAACGCUUGAAGUCAGUCGCGUCUUCAGAAACUCAGCCUGGCUUCUGCCUGGUGUACUUUUCUGUUGGACGGGCCAGCAUCAGUUUCGGCCGCCAGAAAAAGGUGAGAGGAAGGUGGCACCUUCUAGGUGUGUUAUAGCCUCUCAUCGUAUGUGGUGGCUGGGACUGAGGAACUGCAGCACGCCUCUAAUGGCCGGGGUUCGCCCACGUAACGUGCUUAGGAUGCUGGCGUAAUGGCUUUAAACGACCCGUCUUGAAACACGGACCAAGGAGUCUAACAUGCCUGCGAGUAUUUGGGUGGCAAACCCAUAUGCGGAAUGAAAGUGAACAGUUGGGACUUCUGUCAUGGAAGGCACCGACGCCCGGACCAGACCUAUUGUGACGGAUCCGAGGUAGAGCAUGUAUGUUGGGACCCGAAAGAUGGUGAACUAUGCCUGAGUAGGGUGAAGCCAGAGGAAACUCUGGUGGAGGCUCGUAGCGAUUCUGACGUGCAAAUCGAUCGUCGAACUUGGGUAUAGGGGCGAAAGACUMAUCGAAC
rnacentral:rRNA from 1 species